GCUGGGCACAGUGGGGCACGCCUGUAAUCCCAGUGAUUUGGGAGGCUGAGGCUGGAGGAUUGCAAGUUUUUGAAAUUAACCUCAGCAAUUUAGCAAGGCCCUAAACAAUUUAGCAAGACUCUGUCUCAA
rnacentral:sRNA from 1 species